AACCUCCGCAAUGUGAGAAAUCGCGACGGGGGGAUCCCAAGUGCCAUUCUUAACGGGAUGGCUUUUCAUUAGUGUAAAGAGCUUUUGGAAUAAGGGCUGGGCAAGACCGGUGCCAGCCGCCGCGGUAACACCGGCAGCUCUAGUGGUAGCAGUUUUUAUUGGGCCUAAAGCGUCCGUAGCCGGUUUAAUAAGUCUCUGGUGAAAUCCUGUAGCUUAACUAUGGGAAUUGCUGGAGAUACUAUUAGACUUGAGACCGGGAGAGGUUAGAGGUACUCCCAGGGUAGAGGUGAAAUUCUGUAAUCCUGGGAGGACCGCCUGUUGCGAAGGCGUCUAACUGGAACGGUUCUGACGGUGAGGGACGAAAGUUAGGGGCGCGAACCGGAUUAGAUACCCGGGUAGUCCUAACUGUAAACGAUGCGGACUUGGUGUUGGGGUGGCUUUGAGCUGCUCCAGUGCCGAAGGGAAGCUGUUAAGUCCGCCGCCUGGGAAGUACGUCGCAAGACUGAAACUUAAAGGAAUU
rnacentral:rRNA from 1 species